AUGGCGUUCGACAAGAUCCAGGUCGCCAACCCCAUCGUCGAGAUGGACGGUGACGAGAUGACACGAAUUAUAUGGAAAUGGAUCAAAGAUAAGCUUAUAUUUCCUUUCCUGGACUUGGAUAUAAAAUACUUUGACUUAGGUCUACCUAACCGUGAUGCUACUGGGGAUAAAGUAACGAUAGAAAGUGCAGAAGCUACCCUAAAGUAUAACGUGGCCAUCAAAUGCGCAACUGUCACCCCAGAUGAAGGACGCGUAAAAGAGUUUAAUUUAAAAGCUAUGUGGAGGAGUCCAAAUGGGACAAUAAGGAACAUCUUAAAUGGAACUGUUUUCCGAGAACCAAUCAUCUGCAAGAAUGUUCCUCGGCUUGUGCCUGGAUGGACAAAACCCAUAUGCAUUGGCAGACAUGCUUUUGGUGAUCAAUACCGAGCAACAGAUACAAUCAUUAGAGGGCCAGGGAAGCUCAAGUUGAUAUUUGAUGGCAUAGAGGAACAAAUAGAGUUGGAUGUGUUCAACUUUAGUGGUGCUGGUGGAGUAGCAUUGUCUAUGUAUAACACUGAUGAGUCAAUUCGGGCAUUUGCUGAAGCUUCGAUGAAUGUGGCUUACCAGAAAAGAUGGCCACUUUAUCUUAGUACCAAGAACACAAUCCUGAAAAAAUAUGACGGAAGGUUUAAAGACAUAUUCCAAGAAAACUAUGAAACAAAUUGGAGAGGCAGGUUUGAGGAUGCAGGAAUAUGGUAUGAACAUAGACUGAUCGAUGAUAUGGUGGCUUAUGCCCUAAAGAGUGAAGGUGGCUAUGUUUGGGCUUGCAAGAAUUAUGAUGGAGAUGUGCAGAGCGAUCUAGUUGCUCAAGGUUUCGGAUCGUUAGGUCUCAUGACAUCGGUUCUGGUGUGCCCUGACGGUAGAACAGUUGAAGCUGAAGCUGCACACGGUACAGUCACACGACAUUACAGAGUCCACCAAAAAGGAGGCGAAACUAGCACAAACAGCAUUGCGUCAAUCUUUGCGUGGUCUACUGGAUUAGCACAUAGGGCAAGGCUCGAUGACAACAAAAGACUGUUGGAUUUCACACAAAAACUUGAAGCUGCUUGUGUGGGAACAGUGGAAUCUGGAAAGAUGACAAAGGAUCUAGCUCUUCUCAUACACGGACCAACUGUUAGCCGUGAUAAGUAUCUGAACACCAUGGAGUUCAUUGAUGCGGUUGCUGAGGAGUUAAGGACAAGAUUGUCCGCAAAAUCAAAGUUAUAA
rnacentral:rRNA from 1 species